GCCUACGGGACGCAGCAGUGGGGGAUAUUGCACAAUGGGGGAAACCCUGAUGCAGCGACGCUGCGUGGGCGAAGAAGUAUUUCGGUAUGUAAAGCCCUAUCAACAGGGAAGAAGAAAUGACGGUACCUGAGUAAGAAGCACCGGCUAAAUACGUGCCAGCAGCCGCGGUAAUACGUAUGGUGCAAGCGUUAUCCGGAUUUACUGGGUGUAAAGGGAGCGCUGGCGGCACGGCAAGCCUGAUGUGAAAGCCCGCGGCUCAACCCCGGGACUGCAUUUGGAACUGUAAGGCUAGAGUGUCGGGGGGG
rnacentral:rRNA from 1 species